rnacentral:rRNA from 1 species
AACGAACGCUGGCGGCAUGCCUAACACAUGCAAGUCGAACGAGACCUUCGGGUCUAGUGGCGCACGGGUGCGUAACGCGUGGGGAUCUGCCCUUUGCUUCGGAAUAACAGUUAGAAAUGACUGCUAAUACCGGAUGAUGUCGCAAGACCAAAGAUUUAUCGGCAAAGGAUGAACCCGCGUAGGAUUAGCUAGUUGGUAGGGUAAAGGCCUACCAAGGCGACGAUCCUUAGCUGGUCUGAGAGGAUGAUCAGCCACACUGGGACUGAGACACGGCCCAGACUCCUACGGGAGGCAGCAGUGGGGAAUAUUGGACAAUGGGCGAAAGCCUGAUCCAGCAAUGCCGCGUGAGUGAUGAAGGCCUUAGGGUUGUAAAGCUCUUUUACCAGGGAUGAUAAUGACAGUACCUGGAGAAUAAGCUCCGGCUAACUCCGUGCCAGCCGCCGCAGUAAGAC